rnacentral:pre_miRNA from 1 species
AAAAGGGUCACGUCCUGAUCUGCCUGGCUCCCUGGAUGCCAACUAAGGAUGCUGUCGACAAGGAUUGGCCCUUCCUAGUUGGCAUCAGAGGAGUCAAGCAGGUCCAAAAUUAGACAGAUU